AUAGGUUUGGUCCCAGCCUUCCUGUUAACUUUCAAUAGAAUUAUACAUGCAAGCAUCCACGCCCCGGUGAGUAACGCCCUUCGAAUCACACAGGACUAAAAGGAGCAGGUAUCAAGCACACACUCUUGUAGCUCACAACGCCUUGCUUAACCACACCCCCACGGGAGACAGCAGUAACAAAAAUUAAGCCAUAAACGAAAGUUUGACUAAGCCAUAUUGACCAGGGUUGGUAAAUCUCGUGCCAGCCACCGCGGUCAUACGAUUGACCCAAGCUAACAGGAGUACGGCGUAAAGCGUGUUAAAGCAUCAUACUAAAUAGAGUUAAAUUUUAAUUAAACUGUAAAAAGCCAUAAUUAUAACAAAAAUAAAUGACGAAAGUAACCCUACAAUAGCUGAUACACCAUAGCUAAGACCCAAACUGGGAUUAGAUACCCCACUAUGCUUAGCCCUAAACACAAAUAAUUAU
rnacentral:rRNA from 1 species